UACGUAGGGUGCAAGCGUUAAUCGGAAUUACUGGGCGUAAAGCGUGCGCAGGCGGUUUUGCAAGCCGGAUGUGAAAUCCCCGGGCUUAACCUGGGAAUGGCAUUUGGGACUGCAAGGCUGGAGUGCGGCAGAGGGGACUGGAAUUCCUGGUGUAGCAGUGAAAUGCGUAGAUAUCAGGAGGAACACCGAUGGCGAAGGCAGGUCUCUGGGCUGACACUGACGCUCAUGCACGAAAGCGUGGGGAGCAAACAGG
rnacentral:rRNA from 1 species